GGUCCCUAUCCGUCGCGGGCGUAGGAAAUUUGAGAGGAUCUGCUCCUAGUACGAGAGGACCAGAGUGGACUUACCGCUGGUGUACCAGUUGUCUUGCCAAAGGCAUCGCUGGGUAGCUAUGUAGGGAAGGGAUAAGCGCUGAAAGCAUCUAAGUGCGAAGCCCACCUCAAGAUGAGAUUUCCCAUGAUUUUAUAUCAGUAAGAGCCCUGAGAGAUGAUCAGGUAGAUAGGUUAGGAGUGUAAUUGUGGUGACACAUUUAGCGGACUAAUACUAAUAGCUCGAGGACUUAUCCAAAA
rnacentral:rRNA from 1 species